rnacentral:lncRNA from 10 species
ACGUAAGCAUCCUGUGUGAGGCGAGAGUGACUCAGAGGGAGGGCCUGGAGAACAGCUCCCAGCAGCCCACACAUGGUGACUGCGUGAGCGGCCUGUGGCCACCACAAUAGUUACCACAAAUUGGGUGGCAAAAGACAAGAGAAAUGUAUUCCCCCCAGUUCUGGGGGCCAGAAGUCUGAAGUCAAGUCAUCCGCAGAGCCCUGCUCCCUCUGAAGCCUCCAGCGGGGAUCCUUCCUGCCUCUUCCAACUCCUGGUGGCCCCAGGCAUUCCCUGGCUUGUGGAUGCAUCACUCCCAUCUCUGCUUCCGUUUUCAUGUGGCCUCUCCUCUAUGUGUGUCUGUGUCUUCUCUUCUGCUUCUUAUGAGGACACCUGUCAUCGGCUUUACAACCCACCGGACACAAUUCACCCCACUGCAGUGACCACAGCCGGAUCAGACUCGUUCACCCACUUCAGUGACCACAGAUGGAUCAGACUCGUUCGCUCCCUGCAGUGACCACGGCCGGAUCAGACUUGUUCCCUACAAAGGGGAUUUCUCAUGAGAGCCAGUCACACGAGGGCAGAGACUUUGGUUAUCCUCGCCCUGGUAGCUUCAGCAUCUGCGCUGCAUGUGGUAGGAGGCUUGAUCACUUCUGAACAAACACACCAAUGAGUAAAUGAACGAGCGGCCUCACAGAGCAGCGAUGGGGACUUUCUGAUGAAGACCAGGUUUUCAGACGGCGGGAGGCCUUGGCUUUGAGGUGUCAGUGGGUGCAAUGGUUAAUAUGGCACUGAUUUUAGCGAGUGCCGACUGCGCAAUGCCAUAUCUUUUAAAGGGCACUAUAGAAUCCCAGAGUUAUUGAGUAGGAAGGAAGCCUGGACACUCCUCAGUCCAACUUCCUCACCUGCAAGGUGACAAAACUGAAGCCAGAGAGGAGGAAGGAUUCACCCAGGUCCCCCAGAGUCAGCAGCUAAGGAGAGUAUAGAAACCAGGCUUCUGACUUCCCAGCCAGUGCUCCACUGAGACCCAGCUCCCCUCCCUCUAUCAUCAUCUCCAUCAUCCUAAUCUCAGCCACGACUCCCAUGACCUUGGACUCUUCCUGCUUGGCUCUAUGUUCAGCAUCUCACAUACAUCAACUCAUUUAAUUCUCUCAACAACCCAGUGCUUUACAUAGAAUCCUUAUCUCCAUUCUACAGGUGGCACAACUGAGGCUCUCAGAUAAUUUCCCAAAGGUCUGACAGCUAGAAAAUCAUGUAAUCUGAUGCUUAAGCCAGUGCUCCAAGCCAGAGGGAUGUUUUCAGACUCGAUGAUCCCAAAAGUGAUCCCAUUAGAAGAAGAAGGAAAAAAAAAUAAAAAAGAAAGAAACAACCUCCGCCCCUGCAACCUCUUAAACGGCCCACAACAUCUGAAUCGGAAGGUCCGUUCAUGCUGAUUUUCUACGUGUCAGGAAUUUCAUGCCAAAAAGCGACUCUUCUACAUUAAUAACGCAUCUCCCCAUCCAAGACAGGAAAUAACAUUACAAAAGCCGGAAAGGACAUCAAACGCGCUGGCUUGGCAGCCACAUGUAUAUGUGAAAUUACUGUCAGAGUUCAAAGGCAGGGCUGAGACAUGGAGGGUGCGUGCGGCAGUGUUACCCCAUGAUGCUUUUACCUCGUGGGAAUAAGCACAGUGGCAGGUUACUGUGACCUGGCCACUGGCUUCCUGAUACCCACAUUGAUUCUGGCACGUGGGACUGCAGGGCUGGAUUUGGGUGGGCUUUGCAGCUCCCCAUACAUCCUACCCCAGCUCAAGAGCCUCACACGUAAAGCAACCUUUCCAGGUUUGGGCAGCCCGGACCAGUGCCUGCACCCAGGGCUGGCCAAUGCUGCAGAGCUGGCUCUUACUGAGCACUGCACUAAUUAUUAAAGCAUUGCCUCAGGACUCUUGCACAACCUUGAGAAGUAGGAGCUAUCAUGCCCCCUAAUUCAUGGAUGGGGAAUUGAAGAUGAAUUGAGGUUACUUGAUGUGCCCAUUGCAUGGAGGAAGUGGAGGAACCAAGGUUCAAGCCCAAAGAUUCCAUCACUCACAACUACCAGGCUUCACUGCUUCAAUGUGGAAGCUUCCUUGGGAGAUGCAGCCAACCACGCCCAGGCAAGGUUGGACCUGAAGGUGUGAAGAGCUCACCUUUCUGGUUAAGGCAAGUCACUGAGCCCCAUUUGGAGAUGGAGUUUGCAUCAAUCUUCAUGGCAAGAGGGAUCAUGACAUGAAUGAGAGGGCAGCAAUUUGACCAAAGGCUCUUCUAGCUAGACAGGUAACUUGGUUUAUCCUCCUGACUCAUUAAACUGCCUGGUGAACUCCUAUGCAUUCUUCAAAACCCAGUUUAAACAUUCCUUUCACCAUGAAGAUUUCCUUGCCCCAUAAAAAGUCAAUCAACUCUUUCUUUGGGCCCCUGAAGUGUAUGUGUUGUGAGUGCUUCUGUCUUGACACAGACUGCUUUGCCUUGAAUGUGUGCAGCUCGCUGUCUGUAUAGUACAUUCAUCAAGGACAGGAAUUGUGUUCAAUGUGCCUGUGGACACCAGCUUGGAUUAACAGGAACAACGCUAGUAACACCCAGCGCUAGUUAAUCACGUACUCUGUGCUGCGCACUCCUCUAACGGGGUCAUGGGCUCUAAUCCUUAAAACACCGUAGGAGGCUGCUGUGAUUAUUAUUCCCAAUGGCGAGGCGUGUAGGCUCUGAAGCCAGGCCACCUGGGUUUGAACCCUGGCUCUGCCUGUGACCUUGAGUGAGUUACUCAGCCUCUCUGUGUCUCGGGAUUCUCAGUGACAUAGGGAUCAUCACAGCAGUCACCCAGUGAGGGCUGGAGCCAACUCCGGCAAGAGCUAACUAUUAAAGCUUAAAGAAUUUUGCCAUCGUUAAACAUUACAUUAUGCACACUUAGAGUGGAGUAAACUAUAUUUAAAACAAACGUAAUAAACACUCAAAAGUCAUCACUUCCUAAUUAUUUCCCCACAUUUUACUUUCCUCCCUGCCCUUAAGGAUACUCACGUUUCCACUUUGGUGGAAAUACGGAAUAACGAUGAGCUUGCACACUGCUUCCCAACUUUAUGUUCAAUGGCCUCACACUGGUUGAAAUGAGACGUAAGGAGGGGAUUUACACCAUGGAGACUGGCAAACGCUAUAACUCAGGGUUUUUUUAACCUUGGAAAACCACUUGUUAAGCAUUCCCCAGCACAGCGAUGUAACCACCUUAUAGCAAGCACACAGUAAGCUGUCAAUAUGCAUUAGCUACUAUUGCUAUUACUACGAAGAAGACAGAGCUUAAAUCACUCACCCAGGUUAUGAAAGAUCCAGGUAUGACCCCAGACAUGACAGCUCCCUAUCCCUUAACCAGCUUGAACUCAAGGCAGACCACAGAGGAGUGGCCAAGAAAUGUAUUUGGUUGAAUAAACAAACAUUGAAUUAGUAGAUCUCAAAUCUGCUGGCCGCAGAAGUGCCUGGGGAGCUUUGUAUGGACACAGAUUCCCACAGUAUCCCUUGUGGUAGGCUCCAGAGUGUGCAUUAGAGCGAGUGCGUCGGGUUCUGAUUCUGUCCCUCCCCAUAGCCCAGCCCCAUCCCUGUCUUGCUUGUUGCCCGCUUGUGACCCAUCUUCCACAUCUGCCUUCCUGCAUCCCUACGGGGGUGAGUGGGAACUGUGAGGUGGAGAACCGCAUAGGGCAGGGGCCCCUCUGUGCACAGGCCUUAACCAAGAGAGGGCUUGAAGACUGAACACCGUUGCAGGCAAAUUAGAAGAAAACCUGCCUCCUCCAGCAGACACUGACCGUGGUGUAUAGGCAGCCAAGAGAGGCCGCAGCUUACCUGGGCUCAGAGGCCUGCAUAUAUCUGAGUCCACGGUAACAAAAAACAGGCUGUGAGCGUGCACUGCACUUGCAAAUUCACAAAAUGCUGCCACAUUCCUUCUCCUUUCAUCUCACGAUAACCCCAUGAGAUCAGCAAUGGAUGCAUAAAAAUAAUCCCCCGUUUACAGAUGAGGAAACAUGUGACUCAUAUAGCUCAGAGCUGCUCAUGCCUGGAGCCUCAGGCUUCAAAGCUGUGUUUUUCCUUCAAAAGUGGGUGUGAGGGAGAGAAGUGGAGAAGAUGGGGGCCGGAGUCCCGGAAAGUCAACGUUUAUGCAUUAUGUUGGCUUUGCUACCCACUAGCUGUGUGACCCUGGAAAAGCUUCUUAAUUUCUCUGUGCCUUAAGUUUGCACCUUUGAAAAACCUAAGAAAAUGAUUGGCAGCCUCCUCUUAUGGUUGUGGUGAAUUAAUAGAUGUAAAAAUGCCUCUUAGAAUGUUGCACUGGGUGGGGUUCAAUAAUGGAAUAGACAGGAACCACAGCAACAGCUAUAAUGAUAUUGUUGCCUUUAUAUAUCUUGUGGCAUUUCCGGGCUAUUAUUUUUAAAAGGCAGGCUAUUGAGCUAUCUGGGAUAGAUCAAGUGACGGAUACGUAGAUGGGAAGUCAAGGAGCUCUAGACUGGAAGUUGGGGACCAUGGAUUGAAGACCUCAUCCAGUCAACAGGUAUUUCCUGGACACAUACGAUGUGUCCAGUCCUCUGAAGGUCCCCUCUGACAAAGUGGCUGCAUGGAGCAAUAGCUACGACUGUGACCCCAGGGCCACACAGACAGGGUCUAUGUCUGCAGCUGAUGGGCUCACGGCCUUGCUCUAGUCCCUUAUCUCCCUGCAUCUGUCGUCCCGUCUGUAAAAUAGAAUGAAUCAGAAAAUAAACAGCAUCUCUCUGACUCAGUGGCUGCAUGGAGCAAUAGGUAAGAGUGUGACCCCAGGGCCACACAGACAGGGUCUACAUCUGCAACUGAUGGGCUCACAGCCUUGCUCUAGCCCCUUGUCUAUCUGUAUCUGUCAUCCAAUCUGUAAAACAGAAUGAAUCAG